GUUUUAAUAAUUUAAUAAAAAUAUCAUUUUUGUAAAAUGAAAAUAGUUUAAGCUUUAAAGUU
rnacentral:tRNA from 1 species